rnacentral:lncRNA from 13 species
CUUCACUGUGUCAACCAGCACUGUGUUUACAUAUCGAACCCAGCAGCCAAUUGUCUUGCUUCUUUUAGAUGCUUUUGAAUUCCAGAAGGAAUCUUAUCUGGAAGACUAGAAUCAUGCAUCUGUCAUGCCUUUCAAUUUUGUAUUUCAGAUUAACUGCUCCUUUUCCUCCACAUUCUUAAGGCCUUCUCGGAAAUUUCCUUCCCAAUUCACUUGAGAAAUAAAGAAGCUCUCUGAAGCCUGGAAACCUCUGGGAAGGGAGCACAUGUAUUAUUUCAGAUCAGAACUCAAGAUUCCAGCAUGGAGGAUGACGUCAUGUGUCCUCCCUGUCGAAAGCCUUCCAGUGGCCAUGAAGGAAGGAACCUUCAUCUGUUCUACAUCACCACAAAGAGAUAACAGUGACAGCUAACCCUGCUCCAGCCUCUACCACCUUCUCGACAUGGCACAGCCAUAGAACACAGGAAGUCCUCUUCACUUCUAAUACAAUUGGAAACAUGGGAAUAUGUUCUAUAAUGUUCUAACAUGUUCUAACAAUGUUCUAUAAUAAGCAGUCUAUAUCCAAGAGGAUACACUAUAUUAAAGGGUAAGAGAAAUUCAACAUUUAUAAACUAUAAUCUUCCAUCAUUUAAAACAAGUGUUUGAAAUAGUACCAGUUCCCAGCCUCAUUUUCUUCUUCAAGUAUUAUUUUUAUGAAACAGAAAAAUGGGUUUUCUAUUAGUCUAAUCAUUUUUUAAACUCUUGAAUUGAGUAUUUUUUUUAGCUCUAAUAGUUUUCAGAUGCUUCUUUGAUGUCAUUUACAGAGAGUUGAGGUUUUUUAUGUGUAUUAUGACCUUUCAGGCUUUCUGGUUUCAUAAGAACCUGGCAUCUGGAAUACCAACCAAAAUAAUCUGUCCUUCUUUGAACUGCCUUAACACUUUAGCUACAAAUCAACAGCCUUCUUGAGGGUAGGGAUAAUGCAUCCCUAGCACUUAACCUAAAGUCUCUGAAACAGUAUACUUUAAUAGAUCUGUAGCUGUUUAAAAGUAUUAUACUUAUUUAUAUUUAUACCAUCUCUGUGACUAGGUAUGUUUUCCAACUACAUUUAUCAUUUUCUGUAAUUAUAAACGUGAAAUGCUUAAAACAGAAAUAAUGAAAAUACAGUAAACCACAAAGAAAUAAUUACCUAUAAUUACUGCCUAUAUUAUAGAUAUACAUUAUAUAUUUCCCACAUUAGGGAGCCAAUUUACCAAUUAUUAUUUAUAAUUGUAGCAUUCCAUCAUAUGGCUGUCCAUACUUAUUUAUACACACUAUUCAUAACAAUAUGGUAGUGAUAUGUGGAUUACUGCUUGUGAUCUUAUAGGCAAGAUAAACCAUGCUUCAUAUUAGUAGCUGUUCAUUUAGCAUAGGUCCUUUGUAAAAAUCUUUACAUUACUGAUUUUAAAUUAGAGGAUAAGCCAGUGGAUUUAUUUAUUGGUAUCAGAAAACUUUGUCAUUGUUAUACAGAUAUUCUCUUUCACCAAAAGUUCCAUUUAAAUCUGAGAGUGGUGGCUCAUGCCUGUAAUCUCUUUGGGAGGCUGAAGCACUUUGGGAGGCUGAAGCAGGCAGAUCACCUGAGAUCAGGAGUUCAAGGACAGCCUGGACAAAAUGGCGAAACCCCAUGUGUACUAAAAAUACAAAAAAGUUAGCUGGGCAUGGUGGCAUGUAUCUGUAGUCCCAGCUACUCGGGAAGCUGAGGCAGGAAAAUCACUUGAACCCAGGCAGCAGAGGUUGGCAGUAAGCUGAGAUCUUGCCAUUGCACUCCAGCCUGAGUGACAGAGCUAGACUCCAUCUAAAAAAAAAAAAAAUCAAUUCAAAAUUAUCCAGAAUUGUACAACUCAUACUGAAAUAAAAAUUUUAUGAUAUUUUUCCCA